AGAAGCUAAUAAGGGCGCUUGGAGGAUGCCUCGGCGACAAGAGCCGAAGAAGGGCGCGGUACACUGCGAAAAGCCUCGGGGAGCCGUGUGCAGGCGACGAUCCGGGGAUACCCGAAUGGGGAAACCUCCCUGGGGGGACCCAGGGACCCGACACUGAACCCAUAAGUGUCGAGGAGGGCACGCGGGGAACUGAAACAUCUUAGUACCCGCAGGAAAAGAGAGGAUUCCCCGAGUAGUGGCGAGCGAAAGGGGAGGAGCCCAAACUCACGCUGUGCAGAAGCCUGCAAGCGUUGCAGCGUGGGGGUAGGAGGAGCUGAUGGGGGAGGUUGCAGCCUUCCGAAGGAGUGAACAAAGCCAAAGCUAGUCGAAAGACACUGGAAAGGUCUGCCAGAGACGGUGACAGCCCGGUAGGCGAAAGCGUUGGCUCUCCUGUCAGGAUCCUGAGUACCACAGGGCACGAGGAACCCGGUGGGAAGCAGGGCCGACCACGGUCCAAGGCUAAAUACUCUUGACGACCGAUAGUGAACCAGUACCGUGAGGGAAAGGUGAAAAGAACCCCGGUGAGGGGAGUGAAAGAGAAUCUGAAACCAAGCGUCUACAAGCGGUCAAAGCACCAUACCUUUUUCGGAAGGGAAGUGCGAUGGCGUGCCUUUUGGAGAAUGAACCAGCGAGUUACUCUUGGUUGCGAGGUUAAGGCAGGGACAGCCGGAGCCGCAGGGAAACCGAGUCUGAAGAGGGCGUCGAGUAGCCAGGAGUAGACACGAAACCAGGUGAGCUACCCAUGUCCAGGCUGAAGCGGGGCUAAUCCCCCGUGGAGGGCCGAACCUUUCUCUAUUGCAAAAGGGUGGGAUGAGAUGUGGGUAGGGGUGAUAUGCCUAACGAACUUGGAGAUAGCUUGUUCUCCCCGAAAUAGCUUUAGGGCUAGCCUCGCGGGAUGGAUGGCGGAGGUAGAGCACUGGAUGGGCUAGGGGGCGCAAGCCUACCGAACCCAACCAAACUCCGAAUGCCGCCAUAGAGGAACGCGGGAGUCGGACUACGAAUGAUGAGAUCCGUAGUCGAGAGGGAAAGAGCCCAGACCGUCGGCUAAGGUCCCGAAGUCUCAGCUAAGUGGGAAACGCUGUGGGAUCGCCCAGACAGCCAGGAGGUUGGCUUAGAAGCAGCCAUCCUUUAAAGAGUGCGUAAUAGCUCACUGGUCGAGGGGUCCUGCGCGGAAAAUGUAACGGGGCUAAAGCUGAGCACCGAAGCCACGGGGGCGUGUGUAAGCACGUCUGGUAGGGGAGCGUUGUGUAGGCGGAGAAGCUGUACCGGAAGGAGCAGUGGAGGCUACACAAGUGAGAAUGCUGGUAUGAGUAGCGAAAAAUGUGUGAGAACCACAUUCACCGCAAGCCCAAGGGUUCCGACGCAAGGCCAAUCCGCGUCGGGUUAGUCGGGCCUAAGCCGAGGCCGGAAGGCGUAGGCGAUGGACAUCCGGUUAAUAUUCCGGAACCACGGGUGGGGAGUGAAGGGGUGACGCAACGCGGGAAGCCAACCUGGCGGAUGGAAGGGCCAGGCCAAGCGUGUAGGCCGGAGAAGGGGGUAGGGAAAGCCGCUCCUGGAGGUCGAGACGUGAAGGGGAGCCGCAAGGCGGAAGUGGCAGGACCGGGUUGUCAAGAAAAGCCUCUAAGCGAAGAACCAUCGGUGCCCGUACCGCAAACCGACACAGGUGGGUGGGUAGAGAAUACCAAGGUGAACGGGAAAACCUUCGUCAAGGAAUUAGACAAGUUGACCCCGUAACUUCGGGAGAAGGGGUGCCCCUGGAGGUGAAGAAUGUACAUUUGGAGCGUCUGGGGGUCGCAGUGAAAGGGCUCUAGCGACUGGUUACCAAAACCACAGGUCUCUGCGAACGCGGAAGCGGACGUAUAGGGGCUGACACCUGCCCAGUGCCGGAAGGUUAAGGGGAGAGGUAAGCCGCAAGGCGAAGCUUUGAACCGAAGCCCCGGUGAACGGCGGCCGUAACUAUAACGGUCCUAAGGUAGCGAAAUUCCUUGUCGGGUAAGUUCCGACCCGCACGAAUGG
rnacentral:rRNA from 1 species